rnacentral:rRNA from 1 species
UCAGGACGAACGCGGGCGGCGUGCUUAACACAUGCAAGUCGAACGGUAAGGCUCUUCGGAGUACACGAGUGGCGAACGGGUGAGUAACACGUGAGCAACCUGCCCUUGACACUGGGAUAACAGUUGGAAACAGCUGCUAAUACCGGAUACGACCUUGAUCGGCAUCGAUCGGGGUGGAAAGUUCCGGCGGUCAAGGAUGGGCUCGCGGCCUAUCAGCUUGUUGGUGAGGUAACGGCUCACCAAGGCUUCGACGGGUAGCCGGCCUGAGAGGGCGACCGGCCACACUGGGACUGAGAUACGGCCCAGACUCCUACGGGAGGCAGCAGUGGGAAUAUUGCGCAAUGGGCGAAAGCCUGACGCAGCAACGCCGCGUGCGGGAUGACGGCCUUCGGGUUGCAAACCGCUUUCAGCAGGGACGAAGCAACUCGUGACGGUACCUGCAGAAGAAGCACCGGCCAACUACGUGCCAGCAGCCGCGGUGAUACGUAGGGUGCGAGCGUUGUCCGGAAUUAUUGGGCGUAAAGAGCUUGUAGGCGGUCUGUCGCGUCGAAAGUGAAAACUCAGGGCUCAACCCUGAGCCUGCUCUCGAUACGGGCAGACUAGAGGAAUGUAGGGGAGAACGGAAUUCUUGGUGGAGCGGUGGAAUGCGCAGAUAUCAGGAGGAACACCGGUGGCGAAGGCGGUUCUCUGGACAUUUCCUGACGCUGAGAAGCGAAAGCGUGGGUAGCAAACAGGCUUAGAUACCCUGGUAGUCCACGCCGUAAACGGUGGGUACUAGGUGUGGGGGACAUUCCACGUUCUCCGUGCCGUAGCUAACGCAUUAAGUACCCCGCCUGGGGAGUACGGCCGCA